rnacentral:rRNA from 1 species
GACGAACGCUGGCGGCGUGCUUAACACAUGCAAGUCGAACGAUGACGAUUCAAGCUUGCUUGGAUCUGAUUAGUGGCGAACGGGUGAGUAACACGUGAGUAACCUGCCCCUUACUUCGGGAUAACCAUUGGAAACGGUGGCUAAUACUGGAUAUGACCUGUCACUGCAUGGUGGUGGGUGGAAAGAUUUUUUGGUAAGGGAUGGACUCGCGGCCUAUCAGCUUGUUGGUGGGGUAAUGGCCUACCAAGGCGACGACGGGUAGCCGGCCUGAGAGGGCGACCGGCCACACUGGGACUGAGACACGGCCCAGACUCCUACGGGAGGCAGCAGUGGGGAAUAUUGCACAAUGGGCGAAAGCCUGAUGCAGCGACGCCGCGUGGGGGAUGAAGGCCUUCGGGUUGUAAACCCCUUUCAGUAGGGAAGAAGCGAAAGUGACGGUACCUGCAGAAGAAGCGCCGGCUAAUUACGUGCCAGCCGCCGCGGUAA